ensembl:lncRNA
ACCCUAGAAAUUCUCCACAAUGCAUCCAUUCUCAGAUGUGUGGAUUUCCAGGCAAGUGUUCUGCACACAAAAACUGCUCCAUAUAUGUUACUGGUUCAUCUAACUAAAGACCCCAGAAGAGACUAGCACCCCAAAGGAGCAAAUAUUUCUCUUCUGGGCUCCCCAACUUAAAGCAAACAUCGCUAUUAUGAGCAGGCAGUAGGCAGUUAAUAAAUACUUCUUGACUAAUUAGGGAGUGUAAGUAUGCAAAAGUGGUGAAUUAGAAAGAAAGAGAGCUGCAUUAAAGAUAAUCAAACCACGAAGUAUCUAGAACAAUAGCUUCUCCCCUGCAUUGUGUGUGUAGGGAGAGAAAGGCUGGCUAGCUGGCAGCUCUCCCUUCUCAUUAGUCUCCACCAGGAUAGUAUUGCAAUUAGCUCCGGAUGGCACAGCAAUUAUCUUCUAUUCUUGGAACAAACUCCUGGGAGAUCUGAGUUUGGGUGGUGAAGGAAGGUUUUACCAGGGACAAAUAAAUUCACUGUGAACCCCUUCUGAGUGAAUACUCCGCGUGUGGCUAAUAGAAUGUUAGCCAUCAAUGUAAACCUGACUGGUGGCUUCGUUUUAUAUCAAUGACACUUAAACACGAGCUCAAGAAUUUGGAUGGCCAAUUAACAGAACAUGGCUCGGGAAAUUAUAGGUUUCAAAUUUCAGAAAAAUCGGUGAAUUUAGACAACUCGAAUAUCUGCUCCUCAUUAAGGUAGACAGCCUCGGCCUCCAAGUUCUGGCUGACACGGGCUUGCUACUGAGAUGGGGACUGAAAGGAGUAAAAAAAUAAUGUUCUCAAUUAUCUUGCCAGUUAUUGAGCCGGGUAAAGACUCCACCUCACCGCCCACUUGACAAUCCCUUUUAAACAGCUAAAUUUCCUGCAUUUUAAUCAGCUGACAGACCCAGGAGGCUGGGCUGUCUGGGAUGUUUGCUCGCCCUGGCUGGGGAGGACCGGGCUUGGCAGGCACAGGGGCCUCCAAGGUCCUUGUGGAGGGUCCUUGCCAAGAAGAGAGCCUCUUCCUGGGGUCAGAACCGAGCCACAAAUCCUGGCUCUGCGACCCCUCCAACCUCUUCGCUUCGUCUUCCACCCGUCACGCUUUUCUUUCUUCUGUGACAGGAACGACAGCUGUAGGGCCUGGAGUGUUUUGUCAAAGGGCCUAAGCUGGAAUCCUGCCUGGCUCCACUGCCUGCUAGUUGGGUGACUCGAGCUUUCUGAGGCCCAGUUUCUCCCUCUAGAAAAUGGGUAUGAUAAUAUCUGCCGGAAUCAUCCAGAAGGUGCUGGAAAGAGGAGGUGCCUGGAUGACUGCCCUGAGCCUGAAGGAAUUGUACCCACUGGUUUUGUUGCCCACAGUCAUUACGGGAAUGCUGAUGAUCACCUGUGCUUAGGACGAGCCCCAGGAGCUCUGUGUUGAUGCAGGGCUUCCCUGCAGAUGGUGCUGCGGCCCGGAGAAUGCUGCUAGCGAUAGGUGGGGAGAGGGGCAGCUGCACCUGAGGGUUCAGCAAAAGCGGAUGGAACAGUGGGUCUCGCUGGCCUCCUCUGCCCAGGCCCCUCCUGCCCACCUCCCCAGACUAAGCCAGCCACUCCCCUUGACCCCUGCGAAGCGGUGCAGCGGCCUGUGUCUGCAUCUCCUGUGAUCCCUCUGGAGCGUCUUAGCAUUUAGAUGACUCCCCUGGGCUCUUGGAAACAUCCUUGUUCUGACUUUGUUUCCCAUCUGAGAUGAAGCUAGGCAAUCUGAGAAAGGAGCUAAGCCAGUGAUGCAGGAGAGAAGGCCCCAGGAUCCCCACUUGGUGCUUAGAAGACAAAGGCCCAUCUUUACGGCCCAGGUUAAAGGGCUGGGCUUGGCUCCAACACACCAGGUCGGAGUCCCAGCCCCACCACCCAGGGCUUGUGUGACCAGAGGCUCAUUACAGGGGAUGCCCUAAGUCUGCUUUGCCUGCCUGCCCAAGGAAGAGAAUGACCCCUGCCCUCUAGGAUGCAGUAGUGAAGAUGAAAUGAGAUGAGACACGCAGUGGGCUUGGCAGAGGGCCUGGCACACAGUGAUAUUCGCAUGAAGGUGGUUACUAUUCAGUGAGGAGAAGAGGUGAUGGAGCCGGGUAUCAGACCCGGGAGCAGACAGGACAGCUAGUAAGGGAGGACCGUGGGAGGGAAGUGACAGUGGGUUCUGGAGAGGAGGGUUUCUUGGUGACCGUUGAAAGCCAUUGUGGAGACCCGUCAUUACUCUGCAGGCCCCCUGGGGUGGCCGUGCUGGCAGGGAUCUGGGCACGGGGCAAAAUGAGCCGACCAUAAGGCCAGCUAUAUGGCCAUCUAUUUUUGCAAGAAAAAUAGAUGGUGUCACAGGCUUUGAGAGCCGGGCCCCUUUGGCCCGCAGCUGGUAGUGGAGGCCAAGACCUCCUGGAGACCACCCCACUCCUGAUCAGCUACUUUCAGGCCAGCAAACUGCAGGAGGCAGUGAGUGCAGGAUCUAGUCUCCAGGAAGCCAGUGCCGAGGCCUGAGGCUGGAGCCUGCACUGAGCACAUCACGAGGGGACUGAGACUGUCUCUCCCCCGUGGUGAUCCUGUCCCUUGUCUCAUGAAGCUGCCUUCCUACCACAAGAGCAGUCUUUGUCACAUUGCAUGGUUGGAAGUGCAGUUCUGAGGCCCGAUUGCCUGGGCUCACACCUAGCCCCACAUGCAUUCGCUGUAUGACCUUGGGCAAGUGACUUAGCCCCACUUUGCCUCAGUUUUCUCAGCUGCAGAUAGA